rnacentral:piRNA from 1 species
GGCAUUAGACAUUCAUCUCUUGGGUGUAC